GGAUUGUGGCUCAGUGGUAGAGCGCUCGCCUCACAAGUGAGAGAUCCUGGGUUCGAUUCUCAGCACCA